rnacentral:rRNA from 1 species
GACGGAGGGUGCAAACGUUGCUCGGAAUCACUGGGCAUAAAGCGCACGUAGGCGGUUGCCUAAGUUGGAUGUGAAAUCCCGUGGCUCAACCAUGGAACUGCAUCCGAUACUGGGCGACUUGAGGAAGGUUGGGGUGAGUGGAACUCCAGGUGGAGCGGUGAAAUGCGUAGAUAUCUGGAGGAACACCGGUGGCGAAAGCGGCUCACUGGACCUUUUCUGACGCUGAGGUGCGAAAGCUAGGGGAGCAAACGGG